rnacentral:tRNA from 1 species
GCCGAAAUAGCUCAGCUGGUAGAGCAAUGCUUUCGUAAAGCAGAGGUCGGGAGUUCGAAUCUCCCUUUCGGCUCCA